GACGAACGCUGGCGGCGUGCCUAAUACAUGCAAGUCGAGCGGAUCUUCAUUAGCUUGCUUUUGAAGAUCAGCGGCGGACGGGUGAGUAACCCGUGGGCAACCUGCUUGUAAGACUGGGAUAACUUCGGGAAACCGGAGCUAAUACCGGAUAAUCCUUUUCCUCUCAUGAGGAAAAGCUGAAAGACGGUUUCGGCCGUGCCUUACAGUCGGGCCCGCGGGACAUUGGCUAAUUGUGGAGGUAACGGCUCACCAAGGCGACGAUGCGUAGCCGACCUGAGAGGGGGAUCGGCCACACUGGGACUGAGACACGGCCCAGACUCCUACGGGAGGCAGCAGUAGGGAAUCUUCCGCAAUGGACGAGAGUCUGACGGAGCAACGCCGCGUGAGCGAUGAAGGCCUUCGGGUCGUAGAGCUCUGUUGUCAGGGAAGAACAAGUACCGGAGUAACUGCCGGUACCUUGACGGUACCUGACCAGAAAGCCACGGCUAAUUACGUGCCAGCCGCCGCGGUAAAAC
rnacentral:rRNA from 1 species